UCGAACGCGGUUUUUGGUUUCGGCCAGGGACCGAGUGGCGGACGGGUGAGUAACACGUGGAUGACCUGCCCUACCUGUGGGGGAUAGCCUUCAGAAAUGAGGGAUAAUGCCGCAUACGGUGGAGGGGAGUGGGAGCACUUUCUUUCACGGAAGCUUUUGCAGUGCAAGCUGUGGGGGCGCAGGAGGAGGGGUCCGCGGCCGAUUAGCUAGUUGGGGGGGUAAGAGCCUCCCAAGGCGACGAUCGGUAGCUGGUCUGAGAGGAUGGUCAGCCACACUGGGAUUGAGAACGGCCCAGACUCCUACGGGGGGCAGCAGUGAGGGAUCUUCGGCAAUGGGGGCAACCCUGACCGAGCAACGCCGCGUGCGGGACGACGCCUUUCGGGGUGUAAACCGCUUUUCUGGGGGACGAGGCAGUACGGACGGUACCCCAGGAAGAAGUCUCGGCUAACUACGUGCCAGCAGCCGCGGUAAUACGUAGGAGACGAGCGUUGUCCGGAGUUACUGGGCGUAAAGGGUGCGCAGGUGGCCUGGCGCGUGGGGGGUGAAAUCGCCCGGCUUAACUGGGCGGGGGCCUUCCAGACGGCGAGGCUUGCGCAACGGAGGGGGGCGUGGAAUUCCGGGUGGAGCGGUGAAAUGCGUAGAGAUCCGGAGGAACACCGACGGCGCAGGCAGCGCCCUGGCCGUUUGCUGACACUGAGGCACGAAAGCUGGGGGAGCAAACAGGAUUAGAUACCCUGGUAGUCCCAGCCGUA
rnacentral:rRNA from 1 species